GCUGUGGUAGUUUAGUGGUUAAACUAUUGGACUAUUGAUUUGAAGGUUGUGAGUUCAAUUCCUAGCACUGCCACUGCU